CAGAGGAUAGUUUAUUAAAAAUAUUAGCUUUGGAAGUUAAAGAUGGUGGUGUAACCUUUUUCUGA
rnacentral:tRNA from 1 species